ensembl:lncRNA
AGACGGUGAAAGGGAGAAAAAGCAAACAGUGAACGCAGACGCUUAUGCGCGCUUCUCCUGCAUUGUGUCUCUCAGCCAGAGGAAUUUAAGGAGGUUUAAUUGCCUAAAACAGUCCUCUCGUCCACAUGACUGUCACACUGCAAGUGCUCAUGUUGAUACAUCGAAAUGUAACACCAGAUGACUGGAGAUGGACUGCCACUGGACUAGGGCCAUGCUGGAUAAGCCUGAAAGCAGUAGGCAGGGAUGCACUACAGGGGUAUAUGUGACACUUUUCUAAAGUAAAAAAAGAAGAGCUAUGAGCAUCCGAGGCGAUUUUUUUUCGAAGGCAGACGACCAAACAGUUAGUUUUUAUACUCAUAAGAAGUGAUAAAAAAAACAAAAACAAAACAAGAACAACAACAACCAGAGGAUCUGACUAAAAACACUAUCCAGGAUCAUCCACACACAGAUAUAGACUAGAUAUAGCUGAAGAAAAACUUUUUGAGAAAAACUUUUUGAGAGCGAUUUUUUUUUUUUGCACGAGCAGACGGACUUCCCUGCACCCACUGAUGGCCAGAGCAGGGAACAGAAAUUACUUUUAUAGCCACGACUGGGUUUAGACUGUCAGCAGAAAACCUUCUGAAGUUCCACCCGAAAAUCUUACGAAGAACAGAAGAGGGACAUCCGAACAUCUUCCAAAAAGAAGAAGGAGUGGAACGGAGCAGGAGACGUGUUCAUAUCCCCGACUUUACCCCGGUUGAGCUGGUUUGAGAUGUUCUGCACUGAAAAGAAAGGAGCCCGGUGGCUGCUGUCUGUCAGGAGUUGUGACAGUUGGAUGUUUCCAUUAUGUUCCCACCGUGUUCGUGCCAUGUUC